rnacentral:rRNA from 1 species
CUCAUUAAAUCAGUUAUAGUUUAUUUGAUGGUCUCUUUGUCUUUUUUUACCUACUUGGGUAACCGUGGUAAUUCUAGAGCUAAUACAUGCGCAAGGUCCCGAGCGCGGAGAGUGGGGCUUCACGGUUCUAUUCUUGCAUGCGCAGAGGGAUGUAUUUAUUAGGUUAAACAGCCAGUCAUUUUAACAAUCAUCUGGUGAUUCAUAGUAACUCUUUCGGAUCGCAUUCAUG